rnacentral:piRNA from 1 species
UAAUUGUAUAAAUGAAGAAGU